GGGGAAAGAACUACCAAGGAUUCCCCUAGUACUGCGAGUGAAGCGGGAAAGCUCAAAUUUAAAAUCUGGCAGGUUCUUCCUGUCCGAGUUGUAAUUUAGAGAAGCACUGCCCGUGCUGGACUGUGUACAAGUCUCCUGGAAUGGAGCGUCAUAGAGGGUGAGAAUCCCGUAUAUGACACAGUUGCCAGGGCUUAGUGGCAUGCUCUCCAAGAGUCGAGUUGUUUGGGAAUGCAGCUCAAAAUGGGUGGUAAAUUCCAUCUAAAGCUAAAUAUAGGCGAGAAACCGAUAGCGAACAAGUACCGUGAGGGAAAGAUGAAAAGAACUUUGGAAAGAGAGUUAAACAGUACGUGAAAUUGUUGAAAGGGAAACGCUUGAAGUCAGUCGCAUUGCUGGAAAUCACACUUGCUUUUGCUUGUGGCUCUUUCCUAGUAAUGGGUCAGCAUCAGUUUUGAUUGUUGGACAAGGGUUAGAGGAAUGUGGCAUCCUUGGAUGUGUUAUAGCCUCUGAUCAUAUGCAAUGAUUGAGACUGAGGAACUCAGCACUUGUGCUUAGGAUGCUGGCAUAAUGGCUUUAAUCGACCCGUCUUGAAACACGGACCAAGGAGUCUAACAUGCCUGCAAGUGUUUGGGUGGAAAACUCAAGCGCGCAAUGAAAGUGAAAGUUGAGACCCUUGUCAUGGGGGGCAUCGACGCCCGGACCUGAACUCUUGUGACGGUUCUGCGGUAGAGCAUGUAUGUUGGGACCCGAAAGAUGGUGAACUAUGCCUGAAUAGGGUGAAGCCAGAGGAAACUCUGGUGGAAGCUCGUAGCGAUUCUGACGUGCAAAUCGAUCGUCGAAUUUGGGUAUAAGGGGCGAAAGACUAAUCGAACCUCUAGAGCGGUCCUGGAAA
rnacentral:rRNA from 1 species